CAGUCCGCGUCCAUCUCCACGCUCCCAUCGUUCCGAGCGACUCAAGCAUCCUAGCAUCGCGCCCAGCAGCCGUCCACGAAGCUUCCGGCCGUGAUCCCAGCCUCCACCAUGGCCAUGAUCGGCUCCUCCCAAUGAUCUCGCCUUCCAUUCCAUGUGCGAUCCCGGAUGAUCGCCUCCUUCUCCAGCAACGGUUCCGUGGCUAGCCCCUCUCCCGUGAUCCCAGCGCCUCACAGCCGCUCCAUUUCGUCUCCUCUGCGUCUGCAAGCAUUCCAUGAUCCAGCUUCCCGAAUCAACGCCCCGCCAGCCGU
rnacentral:lncRNA from 1 species